rnacentral:rRNA from 1 species
GCCACGCCGCUCAAGAACUUAAAGGAAUUGACGGGGCCCGCACAAGCGGUGGAGUAUGUGGUUUAAUUCGAUGCAACGCGAAGAACUUACCUGGUCUUGACAUCCCGGAGACCCUUAGGAAACUAGGGGGUGCCUUCCAUCUGGAAGAAUCUGGAGACAGGUGCUGCAUGGCUGUCGUCAGCUCGUGUCGUGAGAUGUUGGGUUAAGUCCCGCAACGAGCGCAACCCUUGCCUUUAGUUGCCAGCAGUUCGGCUGGGCACUCUAAAGGGACUGCCGGUGUUAAACCGGAGGAAGGUGGGGAUGACGUCAAGUCCUCAUGGCCUUUAUGACCAGGGCUACACACGUACUACAAUGGCCGAUACAAAGGGCAGCGACACUGCGAGGUGAAGCCAAUCCCGUAAAAUCGGUCUCAGUCCGGAUUGGAGUCUGCAACUCGACUCCAUGAAGUUGGAAUCGCUAGUAAUCGUGGAUCAGCAUGCCACGGUGAAUACGUUCCCGGGCCUU